UGUAUCCGGCUGCAGGUUGAAGACUCGGCCGCCCACGGUCCGUAGAAAGAGAAGGAGAAAAGCAGCUGUACAGUUUUUCCAAUUCGAAAAGGAAAAGGAGUUGAAAACGUUUUCCGCCACGGAACAAUGGCACAACAGAACUAGUCACAUUUCUCCAUAAAGGCACAGAAUAUAAAACCAACUUUUAUUACAUUGAUUAAAUAUCAAAAUGAAUCCAAGUGCCCUCUUGCAAAGCAAAAAGACCACAGCAUCCAGCUACCUGCCCUCUGAGACAUGAAGGUCACAUUGUCAAGUAUGCAGGGCCUUCCAAGUCAGAUGAAUAACCAUGACUGUGGAAUUGUCAUGUUGAUGGUAUGACCAUUUCAUAUUGUAACUAUAUUUUUGUGUAUGUCUGUAUUUAAUGUUGUGUCCAGGUUUCCUAAUGACCAUUUGGUGGUGUCUCUGUAUUUCAUCCUCGAGGACCCUUCAGUUUAAAUGAGGUGUGUCUCAGCUUUAGUACUCUCUUCUUUCAUUGUAGUAUUUGUUGAGGGAGGAUUAUAUCUGGUUGUUGGUUUCCCAUUUUUGUCCCCUUUUUCAAUCUGUGUUGGGUAUUUGGGUUAUGUUUAUUUUAUUUUAUUAUAUUUGUAUUUUUUAAUUUUAGCAUACUGUCCCUAGUGGUUUUGAUGUUCCACAAACGCCUACCUUUUAAAAUCCAGAUAUUUUAAAUGUAUGUUUAGAAUGGUUUGUAUAAAUAUUUUUGUAACAUUAAACUCCUUGUAACAA